UACGAAGGGGGCUAGCGUUGCUCGGAAUUACUGGGCGUAAAGCGCACGUAGGCGGCUUUCUAAGUCGGGGGUGAAAUCCUGGAGCUCAACUCCAGAACUGCCUUCGAUACUGGAAAGCUCGAGUCCGGGAGAGGUGAGUGGAAUUCCGAGUGUAGAGGUGAAAUUCGUAGAUAUUCGGAAGAACACCAGUGGCGAAGGCGGCUCACUGGACCGGCAUUGACGCUGAGGUGCGAAAGCGUGGGGAGCAAACAGG
rnacentral:rRNA from 1 species